UUUAUUGCAAAUGUUUAUACAAAGAUUUUUAAGCUAUUUUCAUGUUAGAAAUACAUUUCAAUGGAAUAUAAACCUAAAAUGGGUUCAGAAAUAAAGUGAUAGAAGUGUAGCAGAGCAGUGGUCAUGGUACUGGGUACUGAGUAGGCCUUUGCACAAGCUCUGCCACUUAGUCAUAGUCUCAGCCCAAGAGGUGGUUCUAGUAUAGAAAAUGCUAGUUGCAAAUUAAAAUAUUUUAAGAUGAUAAUGUUGUCAUCUAAAACAGAAAUUUGUUUGGAAAAGUGGAGACUAAUGCUUAAUCCUCAAUUUAAAUAUGAGACUCAGUUGUAGGAACUACUUCAGGUAAUAAUGAGAUAUAAAAAUAUUUACAAGGUACUAACUUAAAAUAUCAGAAAUAAUCAACCUUCCAUCACAAUCAAUUUCUUAUCACAAAGCUAAUCUGUUUGGCAUUUCUGGUGGAUAAACUAACAAAACAAUUUUGUUAGAUAUCUAUCUCCAAUAUCCAUGUAUUUGUGAUAAGAUAGUCUUUCUGAACCACCAGUACAUCUGAGAAGUCUGCCUUUGCUCCUCACACUAGUGGGUUAAACUAGAUGUUUCAGCUCAUAUCUGUGCAUCAAGACUUGAAAAGGAGAGGACGGGUGAACUUGAAUCAUCUGUAUACAUGUUUCAGUUAGUCAGUGUGAGGAAUGUGACUGACCAGUGGAAGGUCAAGCAUGAACCCCAAAGGAUAAAAUCAAUCAAAACCCUACAGGCAGCCCAGUAAUAGUUCUUAAAAUCUUAAUGAGGUUCUUUCUACUUGCCUGUCCAAAUACUUUCCCACCUAUGCAGAUCCAUUCCUGCUUGUCCAGCUAUCUCCAAUCCUGAUUCCUACUUCUCUGGCCAGCGGUCUGCCUCACGGGCCCCAUUGCUAUCCCAUCAUCCCCAAAGUCUUCCUAGCUACCCAGUUGUUUUUCCCACCCCCAAGACCUGUGUCCUUCCAUCUGUCCCCUCUACUCUUCCAAAGACCUUUUUACAAGCCCCAUUACUAUCUUAUCCUAUCAGAUAUCUCCCUCACCCUCCAACCCCAGUUACUUCUAGCUUUUCUAGCAAUUUCCCUAAUCUACCAGACCCUAUUCCUUCUGGGCCACCUGUCCUUCGACGUCCUCCAUCCCAAAGUUCUUCCAACAUUCCUGAUCCUGACUCACAGAACAGGUUAUUUUAUAAAACUUUCAGACCCAAACAGUUGCUUGCAGCACAGCAUUCUACCCAAACAACUCUAAUGCCCGCACUUAUACGCCGUUCCCUUCCAGCUCGACUGGUUGUUUCCCCAACCCCUUUGGAAACUCUCCCUGUUUUGAAACCUUCCAGUUUAUCCAGGCAUCCAAGUCAACCAGCCCCACCCCUCUCUUGUAUCACUCCUUUGCCUGAACAUUCUUCCAGGUUUGAUGCUUGUCAGUCAGUUCAGAAAUCUGUUCCACAAGCCACAUUGUCAAAUCAGUGCCAGGCCUUUGUAGACCACCUGCCUGCCUUGAUUCUCUCCCACCCACCUCCCUGUCAUUCUCCAUCCUCUUCUUUGCCGUCGUCACCUUCUACUUUCACAUCCUCUCCAUCCUUGGGAGCAGUCUCUUCCUCUUCAUCCAUACCUUCUUCUUCUUCUUCACCUUCUCCUUCCACCUCCCCUCCCUUACCUGUUUCAUCUAUCCCUCUUUUGCCCUCUCCCUUGCAUUCAUAUCCCUCUCCCUGUUUGCCUCCAGCUUAUCUGGCUUUUCCCUCUCCAGUGCCUUCUUCCUCCUCUUUUAUGAUUUCUUCUUCCUUUCCUCCCAUGCUUCACUCUAUCUCGAUCUCUACUUCCCCAUCUCCUUUGAUUCCUAUCCAUCCCUUCAAUCCUCCUCACUGGGGGAAGAAAGUAGAGAAGAGGAGAGAAGAAAGUGGAGUAGAGAAGAAAGGAAUAGAGAAGAAAAAGUUGAGAGACGACAACUUUAAAGGUAAAUAAAUUCAGUUUAUUAGACCUUUCGUUAUUUUGUUUGGGAAGGGUGACUAAAGGGGAAAGAUGAUGUAAAAGUAGAAAAAG
rnacentral:lncRNA from 1 species